AUAAUAUCCAAAUUACGGUGGGAGCAAGCGUGUAUGUGAACUACCGGAGCUGUUUCGUAGACACGUCGUCGCAAAAACAUCGUGUGAAAUAUUGAAUUUUGGAAUGGCGUUUCUUCAAACUCUUUGUUGACAUCUUUGCAUAAUUCACUGGACCAUGGCCUCAUCACAAUGAUGUAAUGAUAAUGAAUAUUCAUAGUCAGACACUUAAAACUACAAAAGUCAGGAAACUGCUGAAAUGACACCACAGCAAAAGCAACUUCUUGAUAGCAUAUAUAUCUUUCAGCGGGGUUGGAGGUAGCACAUGGAUGUCACCUCAGCGAAUCUCAUUUGUGCGACAUCCUACCGCUUGGAAUGGCUGACCGUCCAGAUUUGGACCAGCAUUUUGAAUAGAAAUUCUGAAGAAACUUGGACAUUGUGUCUCCUUUGCAACAAGUCAACCUGCCCUGCUAGCCAGUAUUACUGUGUUGCUUCCUCUACUGAAUGGUGAGUGUGAUGGCAAAAGUUUGUGAAUGCUUAAUAUUAUGAAUUUCAUGUCCAUUGUAAAUUGCAUGUCCAUUGCAAAUUGCUUUGUGGGAUAAAUAUGUACCCAAGAAACUUUGUUUUACAUAUGAGUUUAAUAGUCUAUAAAACUGUAGUAAUAAUAGUAAUUGUUUUCCCCUGUAAGCAUUGCAAUUAUUUUGGUUGUCAGUAUUACAGUACAACUUACAUUUCCCUAUUUCAUAAUUAAAUUUUAAUAAAUAACUUUAAAAUUAAUAAAUUUUUGUUUAUGAAAUACAAUUUAACUAUAAUAAUAACAAUAUAGCAAUGCUU